CGGCGGACGGGUGAGUAACGCGUGGGUAACCUGCCUUAUACAGGGGGAUAACAGUUAGAAAUGACUGCUAAUACCGCAUAAGCGCACGGGAACGCAUGUUUCUGUGUGAAAAACUGAGGUAGUAUAAGAUGGACCCGCGUCUGAUUAGCUAGUUGGUGAGGUAACGGCCCACCAAGCCGACGAUCGGUAGCCGGACUGAGAGGUUGGACGGCCACAUUGGGACUGAGACACGGCCCAGACUCCUACGGGAGGCAGCAG
rnacentral:rRNA from 1 species